AUGUAGUGGUUAAAGAGCUUCUGCUAAAGUGAUUGCAGCCUUGAUAAUAAACACAUUAGUAGAAAGUAGGGAAAUUAAUUACAGCAAGAAUUUUAUUACUUAGAAGUAAAAAUGCAAAGAUGGCAUCAUAAUGCAAUUAUCAUUUUCGUGGAAGAUGUGAUGAUCGAACACCUGAGCAAAUGUUUGGCUUUGACAAAAAAUAACAUCUCAAACUGAUUUGUUUAUCAAGCAUUUACAAGAUUUUGAUGUCUCAUUGAGUUUCCUAUUUUUCUGUAUUUCUAAUUAGUCCAUUCUUCUUUUGUGAAGAAAAAAAAAGAUUGAUUUACCUCUUGACUUGACAAGUAUAGAGAUAUAUUGCUAGGAAUCCUUGUUUCAAGUUACUUUUAAGAUUUUCUUUUGGCCACAAUGGUAUGUUUCUUAAUACUUGCUUAUAUAAUAAAUCCACGUAGUAACACAAGCAGAACUUGAUAUUACUUUUUAUCUAAAGUUAUACUUCUUCUCCUUUGAGCUCCAUAACUCAUGUGACAAGUAUUAUCUUGAUCGAUAUGUAAUAUGUAUUAUUUAUCUUAUGAACUAAAUUAAUAUGGAGCUUUCAUUUCAUAAAUAUGGGAAUUUAUUCCAUCUAUUGACUAUUGUAUUGUUGCGGACAAUUGAAAGCUAUUUUCAUGGGAUUUUUUGCAAGGAUAACUCAAACAUUCUUCGACCUGAAGGAGAAUCCGCGUAGAUGAUGUCUUAAGAUCUACAAGAAGACUUUAACCACCAGGGUUUAUCCUUGAAGGUAUUUUAUGUUUACACUGGUGACAUAAUAGAAGGGGUUUCUUUUUGAAGACUCUAUAUUAAGAUGGGCAGUGGAGGUUUUCCUAGUAUCUUUCUGCUAUUGAUUAUACCAAAUGGCACGUCGAUGGUGCUGACUCGGGCAAUAUUUAUUGAAGGUUGUAAAUUAGUGGGUGCAAGAAUGAAUUAAUGGACUUGCUCAGUGGUAUAAAUAUGCCUAUUGAUGCUGUAUUUCAUAUUUGAAGAGCAUAGCAGUACUGACAAGUACACCUAAAGAGAUUACACAUGUGGGCAUUAUCUUUGCAAUUGGUGAAUAAGAAAAUUGGGAAACUGAUAGCACGGACAAUGGAGAAAGUCGAUAAGGAAUGAAUCAUCACUAUUGUUAUAAAUAUGCUGCAUUUUGGAACUCUCCAUAUGUAAUUUUCUAUGCAUGAUGGAGGGUAAGUCACCUGCAAUCAUGCAGGAUGGAAAUUUUAAGGAUGAUGAGUUGGAAGUGGUGGAAAGGAUGAAACCAGCUCGUCGUUAUAAAUCUCCUUAUUUUGUUACGGAAGAGAAGAGUAAAAAAUGUGUAUUGUAAAUCUUGUAUUUAUGGAGGUCGGAUUUUUCUAACUCUUUCUCAUCCUUUCAUAUGAUCUAAAUUUUUACUUCAAUUCUUCA